GACGAGGUGGCCGAGUGGUUGAAGGCGCAACUUUUAAGCAGUUGUAUCGUGAGAUAUCUUGGGUUCGAAUCCCAAUCUCGUCA
rnacentral:tRNA from 3 species